UGCAGUCGACGGAUCCUUCGGGAUUAGUGGCGGACGGGUGAGUAACACGUGGGAACGUGCCCUUUGGUUCGGAACAACUCAGGGAAACUUGAGCUAAUACCGGAUGUGCCCUUCGGGGGAAAGAUUUAUCGCCAUUGGAGCGGCCCGCGUCUGAUUAGCUAGUUGGUGAGGUAAAGGCUCACCAAGGCGACGAUCAGUAGCUGGUCUGAGAGGAUGAUCAGCCACAUUGGGACUGAGACACGGCCCAAACUCCUACGGGAGGCAGCAGUGGGGAAUCUUGCGCAAUGGGCGAAAGCCUGACGCAGCCAUGCCGCGUGAAUGAUGAAGGUCUUAGGAUUGUAAAAUUCUUUCACCGGGGACGAUAAUGACGGUACCCGGAGAAGAAGCCCCGGCUAACUUCGUGCCAGCAGCCGCGGUAAUACGAAGGGGGCUAGCGUUGCUCGGAAUUACUGGGCGUAAAGGGAGCGUAGGCGGACUGUUUAGUCAGAGGUGAAAGCCCAGGGCUCAACCUUGGAAUUGCCUUUGAUACUGGCAGUCUUGAGUACGGAAGAGGUAUGUGGAACUCCGAGUGUAGAGGUGAAAUUCGUAGAUAUUCGGAAGAACACCAGUGGCGAAGGCGACAUACUGGUCCGUUACUGACGCUGAGGCUCGAAAGCGUGGGGAGCAAACAGGAUUAGAUACCCUGGUAGUCCACGCCGU
rnacentral:rRNA from 1 species